GCUGACACAUCCCUGCCAAUCUCCGGCAGACCCUCCCUCCCAGACCCUCCCACCUCCUGGACAGCAUCCAUGUUGAAGCUGCCUUCAACAUGGAUGCUGUCCAGGAAGUAGGAGGGUCUGGGAGGGAGGGUCUGCCGGAGAUUGGCAGGGAUGUGUCAG